CUUUUGGGUCCAAAAUGCUGCAAAAGAUUCUCGAUUUACCACCGCCAGCUAUCUUUCCAGGUACCACAAUGCCAAGUCCUCAUGUUUUCCUGGGAGAUGCAGCUUUCCCCCUACAUGAGAACCUCAUGCACCCUUAUCCAGGAAGCGUAAGAACAUCGGUGGGUUUGUGUUUACCACAGGGUGGAUUACAGAGGAUAUGCACAGUUUCCACCUGCUAAUCAAAACGAGACAGACGGACGAUUUCCUCUGAACUCCCUGGCUGACUAGAGGCUCCUCUUUGUACAGUACUCAUCAGGAUCCUGUUGGCUUUGUACUGCUUGGCCCAAUCAGACCAGCUCCUAAAACUACCACGACAGAUUCUGGCAGUAGAUAUUUGAAAAUUCUGGUUUGGAUUACAUAUUCUGCAGACUUCCAAUGUGUGUGAUCUUAGUAUCUGUAUGUUUAAUGUUCAACUAUAUGUUUUGAUCAAAGUUUAUCACUG
rnacentral:lncRNA from 1 species